UGCUAGUAUGGGAAAGCCUCCUAGGUCUCCCACCAUGGGAAAGUAACGUGAACUGUCGGAUGAACAAGAUUAUGAUGCACCACAUGUACCUUAUAAUUUUCUUUUCUCUCUCUUCCAAUCAUCUCUAUGCUCUUUUUGUUACUGUUCUCUGCAACUUUUUUUUAUUAGAUUGUUCUCUGCAACAUUCAUUCCUUUAAUCAUUCUUCAAUUUUUUUGUGUUCAUAGUUUAAUUAAACGCAACUCUUUUUCAAAUCCUUUAUCAGAUCUAUUAGCCAU
rnacentral:lncRNA from 1 species